rnacentral:rRNA from 1 species
UACGUAGGGGGCAAGCGUUGUCCGGAAUUAUUGGGCGUAAAGAGCUCGUAGGCGGUCUGUCGCGUCUGCUGUGAAAUCCCGAGGCUCAACCUCGGGCUUGCAGUGGGUACGGGCAGGCUAGAGUGCGGUAGGGGAGAAUGGAACUCCUGGUGUGGCGGUGGAAUGCGCAGAUAUCAGGAAGAACACCGAUGGCGAAGGCAGUUCUCUGGGCCGUAACUGACGCUGAGGAGCGAAAGCGUGGGGAGCGAACAGG